GAGUAGUAGUGGGUGCAUGGGGUGGGAUAGAGACAGUAGUGAGUGCACAUGGCAGAUAGGAGCAGUAGUGGGUGCACAGGGUGGGAUAGGAGUAAUAGUGGGUACAUGGGGUGGGAUAGAGACAGUAGUGAGUGCACAUGGCAGAUAGGAGCAGUAGUGGGUGCACAGGGUGGGAUAGGGACAGUAGUGGGCACACAGGGUGGAAAAGGGGCAGUAGUGAGUGCACAGGGCAAAUAGGAGCAGUAGUGGAUGCACGGGGUGCAACAGGGAAAGGGAUAGUGACAGUAGUGGGUGCACGGGCUGGAUUAUGGAAUGUAGUAGGUGUAGG